rnacentral:rRNA from 1 species
GACGUAGGGCGCGAGCGUUGUCCGGAUUUAUUGGGCGUAAAGAGCUCGUAGGCGGUUUGUCGCGUCGGCCGUGAAAUCUCCACGCUUAACGUGGAGCGUGCGGUCGAUACGGGCAGACUUGAGUUCGGUAGGGGAGACUGGAAUUCCUGGUGUAGCGGUGAAAUGCGCAGAUAUCAGGAGGAACACCGGUGGCGAAGGCGGUUCUCUGGGCCUUACCUGACGCUGAGGAGCGAAAGCGUGGGGAGCGAACAGG